AGUUCACCUUGUUGGCUGACGACUACAGGCUCAUUGAGGAGGUCUGCUUCGGCGCCAAGAGAAAAUGUGUUGUGGAUGUGUCCAGCUGGUCUGUGUUAAGCUGGGAAGAUCAAUCCAUUUAUAGCUUUUUAUAUUUUAUUACAGUGAAAAUGGCAGUACUAGCUUCAGUAGCAUCAAGCUUUAGGUUUCUUCUUACUGGAGUUACCAAUGGCUGACAGAUGGAGUAGGAGGAUGAGCAGCAACAACAAAUGAGCCUGAUGGUGAAGAAGCACCUGGUGACCAAAACUCCUUCAAGUGCUCUUUAGUCGUUCCAAAACAAGGUCUUGAUGUCCCCCUUAUAGAAAAUGUUCAUAUAUGUUCCUGCAUGAUGUGUGUGUGCAUGUUGGAUGGUCACAUUCUAGUGUACUAGGUAGCUAGUAAGCUUGUUUUGCUACCAGAUGAUUGAGUGUCAUCUCAGUUUGUACCUCAUCUAGCUCACCACCUCAAAUUGCCACUGUUUUGUUAGUGUUUCCUUCUUGGUUGGCUAAACAUAUUUGUUUGUUUGAUUUGGAGCAUUAGACGCUCUCCAUCGAUGAUUGCCUAAUUUUAUUCAUCGUCUCCACAAUAUAUUCAUUUGAUUGUCUGCUACAUCUCCACUUAAAUACUCAUAAUGCUUUUGUCCAGCCUUUGUUCAAUUGGACUGACCAUAUCUCUGGUUAAAAUUGUGGUCUUGAUCUUUUGUUUAAACCUGGGACAUCAUGCAUAACUAGCUCUUUCUUUUCAGUCUAAACAUGAGACCUUUUUCUGUUUUCAGUCACACUUCUGUUUUGUUGUGCUUGAUAAACCUGAGACUUCUUUCGAUUGUAAUAUCGAAGUUUUUUGGUUCUGACCUCAGUAGUAGUGCACUAAUAUUGAAGUUGUUCACUCUUUUACAGGAGCUCCAGGCCUAAUUUUCUUGGAGUGUGAAGCCGUGAAGCCAAGUGCGAAUCAGUGAAGCCCUACUUAGCAAAGAGUUUUUUGAUUCUGUAGUAGACUGUAAAUUGUAAUAUUGUAACAGAUUGUAAAAGACUAAUGUAGUGUUAUUUGAUGAA